rnacentral:rRNA from 1 species
CGCGUAGGCGGCGGACCUUGUCGAGUGUGAAAGCCCCGGGCUCAACCUGGGAGGUGCGCUCGAGACGGGUUUGCUGGAGUUCGGGAGAGGAGAGUGGAAUUCCCAGUGUAGAGGUGAAAUUCGUAGAUAUUGGGAAGAACACCGGUGGCGAAGGCGGCUCUCUGGACCGAGACUGACGCUGAGGCGCGAAAGCGUGGGGAGCAAACAGGAUUAGAUACCCUGGUAGUCCACGCUGUAAACGAUGUGUGCUAGACGUUGGGGAGCGCAGCUCUUCGGUGUCGCCGCAAACGCUUUAAGCACACCGCCUGGGGAGUACGGCCGCAAGGUUAA